rnacentral:rRNA from 1 species
AGUGAACGCUGGCGGUAGGCCUAACACAUGCAAGUCGAACGGCAGCACAGGAGAGCUUGCUCUCUGGGUGGCGAGUGGCGGACGGGUGAGGAAUACAUCGGAAUCUACUCUGUCGUGGGGGAUAACGUAGGGAAACUUACGCUAAUACCGCAUACGACCUACGGGUGAAAGCAGGGGACCUUCGGGCCUUGCGCGAUUGAAUGAGCCGAAGUCGGAUGAGCUAGUUGGCGGGGUAAAGGCCCACUAAGGCGACGAUCCGUAGCUGGUCUGAGAGGAUGAUCAGCCACACUGGAACUGAGACACGGUCCAGACUCCUACGGGAGGCAGCAGUGGGGAAUAUUGGACAAUGGGCGCAAGCCUGAUCCAGCCAUACCGCGUGGGUGAAGAAGGCCUUCGGGUUGUAAGGCCCUUUUGUUGGGAAAGAAAUCCAGCUGGCUAAUACCCGGUUGGGAUGACGGUACCCAAAGAAUAAGCACCGGCUAACUUCGUGCCAGCCGCCGCCGUAA